AAAGUUAAGUUGUACACCAUAAGGUGUAUGAAUAAUCAUGGGCUUUUCUCCAGUUUUUUUUAUUGGAUUUUACUCUAAUAAACACUGCAAAAACUUAAACCAAUCAGUUCUAUUGAAAUUAAAAGGACUCUAAAAGUGGGGCAAGUACUACAUGACAUGUUGUAAUAUUUCYAAUCUGACGACUAUARGGUAAAAUAUGCCCUGGAUGUGUUUACUCCUUGGUUUCACUUCAAAUUCAAAGGCAACAUUAAUCUGUUAGACACUGUCCGUGGYUGCCCUCAUUAAGAAGCAAGCGAAAGAGUUAUUGUUAAGCUGCUCCUUAAAGAUCAUUUUUCCAGAACAAGGAUAUGUGCAGCAACAAAUUACAUGGUAAAAAUAUCCCUUAGUUUCUGGCAUUACAUUCUAUUGUUGAGAUCUGAAACAAGAAGCAUUUCCCUGUGAGACCCCCAGCAGCAUUAAAAUAGAGCUUUACUCAGCCCAAUUAGAACUUGUGGAAAUCAGGCUAAUGGAUAUACGAGGUGGGCUGCCUUUGGCUCGCCCUCCAACUUUGUAGAAUAAAACAACCACAACCUUGAAGUUAAAUCUACAGUAAUGUGUGUGAGACGCUAUGGUUCGGGCAUUCUCUAUAUUCAUGUAGGAAUUAAGUUUAUUGCCUUUAAUCCCCCUUUUUUGAUUUAAAGUGCAUCUCCAUCCAUCUGUCACUCUUGGAUAUAUAUUUAUCUCUCUUAUCUGCCUUUCAUUUUUUUUUUCCUCUACACCCUCCAUGCUUCAUUUAAGCUGAAACAUGAUGCUCUUUCUCUUCAUCCCCUCUUCUSACUUAACCUAAUCCUCCCUCCUUUUGGACAGAAGUGUCUCUCCCUAAUGUUAGUAACACAAGUGUAAUCCUAUUUGUAUGUUAUUGUGUUGUGAUGUUCAAAAGGAAGAUGCUUUAUAAGAUUUUCCAGCCUCCAUUCAGGCCAGAGGAGCUUUUUUUUAUUAUUUAAUUUGAGGGAUACAAAAACAAGAGGGGAAAGCAAAGCUGAAAGAGGGCAAGGGCUUCAGCAGUCAGCUCUGACAGGAAUCUGUGGACUCAACGGUCCGUGGCGAACCGAAGUGUCAACUCCACUUGUACGUCCAAGCAUAUCAUUAGGGAGACAUCUUUUGUUGGAGUCAGUCACUGCUCUCUUUUGAAGAGUGAAUGUGGAACUGCUCAUGUUUGCACACGCCAGCUCUUUCAUUAAAAAAAAAACCAAAACAACACAUUUUAAAACAAUGGUGUUGUAAACAGACAUGUCAUGUARGUUUGUGUUAUGAACUAGGGUUUGAUGUAGAAGGUUGCCUCAUUYGCUAAAUUCAAGCUUCAGCAUAAGAACUGUAACCAUCUGACACAGUGUGUGACUUAUUUUCCUGCUUUAAUUCCCAAAUUCAGAGCAGAUUCUGAUGUAACUACUGAAUCACAGCCAAUGAGGAAAGAGAGUUCAGCAUGAUUCAGAAAAACCAAAGCAGGAUAUAGGAGAUAAUGCAACUCAUUAAGUUACUAUCUCAGUACCACAGCACCACCUGUUGGUCAGCAUGGUUUCUGUUCUUUGCAAUCAGGAAAGUUCAGUUAUUGCUGUUUGGCUUUUUUAUGCUGUUUAUCUUUUGCUUUGAGCUCUUUUUACAGAUGAUGUUCUUAGAUUUUUUUUUUGUCUUUAAAAAUGUUCACUACGUGCUUAACUCACAUUUACCAGUUUUUAUUUAUAUUUGUAAAAUAGGUUUUCUAUCUCCAGCAUUGAUUUGGCAAGAGGUUGGGUUUUAUCGGGACAGGUGAACCGUCCAUCGCUAGGCAACACAGACAAACAUAGUCAUGCAUUCAGACUUAAACACAAUUUAGAGCAAUCACAUCACCUAACAGGCAUGUUUUUAGUGCAUAGGAGGAAGCUGGAGURUCCAGUGGAAAUCCAGGCAGGCCAACUGAUUGGCCAGCAAAAAAUAUAUAUAUCUUCCACAUAAGACAUUCAAUUGAAUACUUUUUUAACUUCUUUUUUUACUUCUAGAUGUUCAAUUUGUGUGAACUACAGAGAUGAUUAAAGAGUAACUAUUGGUCCCAAACAUUGCAAUAGAACCUGUGAAUAUGAAUUAAAUUKCUUCAAAUGGGAAAAUAUGGAAACCAUUAAAAAUAGAGAUAAAUGUUUUUUUUAAGGGUGUGUUUUCUGGUUAAAAUGCAGUUAGAUUUUCCAGUUCCCAGUUCAAACUGCCAUAAACUUAACUAAACAAAAUCAGGAAACCAUUGCAAGAAACGAUGUGACCAAGGUGAACUGCAACUUUCCAUUUCGAUAUUUGAGCUAAAAAUUCACAGUACCUUUGAAAAAUAACACUACCUACUUUAAAAAAAAUAAACACUAAGCAAAUGGAAAGAGCUGUAACGACUUAUAUCAAUGGCCAAAAAUUUUAUUGACAAUUCAGAAUGAAUACUUAGUCUCUCCAUCCCCCAAUCCGAGAGGUCCUGACAGUAAAACAUGAGAAAUAAGCUUUUAACUUUGCACUGCUUCUCUUUUCUCACUCUGAAUCACAUCUAUGUUUUGUUGUCUCCUCGUCUCUCUCUCUUUUUAGAUUCAACAAAAUACAGAACACAAAGAACACAAUGAAGAAGGAUGGCAUCAGCUCCUUGACCUACAAACUGGUUCAGGUGAAGAAGUAUCCUAUGUACACAAACAUCUCAGUGGAGAUCGGCAAGCCUCCGCCUCGGCCCAUCAAAGGCUAGAGAGAGUAAAAGAGAGAAGGAUCUAAAGUUGAUGCACUUUUACCCGGAUGGGAGAGAAGAAAGGAAGGGAUGCCAGCUGCCACCCGGUAACAGUCAGCGACGUUAAAAACCUUUGGAAACGGAGCAGGAAUGUCAGCAGCUGACAGAAGGUUGUUGUCAAACUCAAGUGUCGUUCCAUGAACUAUCAUCUGCAAACUGGAGGGCAUCCAGCAACAUAUUGGCAGGAACACCAAACAUGGCUGUUAUAAAACACCUUGCCCCUUUUCUGGAGAUGCACACACAAUAACUCAGUCCCAUUUCAAAACMAGCUUCGGUUCACCACAACGCUUGACGACAUGAACAGGAUGCAGCUUCCUGUUGAGAAACGCAUGAAAUUACCAAACAUUUGCAGUGACGUUUUGCAGGUAACAGAUUACCUGCAGGAACAUGAACAUUCAGUGGUUCAGGUGGUUCAGAUGGUUUUUGUUGUCCCCAAGACAUCAUGUCUCGACACAGAACUGUUUCAUGUUGACAUUUCCCUCUGGGAGUCUUCAGUCUGAAUCUCCAAACUCAAACCUUCUGCURUACGUCUAUGAAUGUUUAACGUGCCUGCAUCUACAGCAGAAGACUCAUGAAAACAGAGCAGCAAUGAACAACUGGGGUGGGGUGGGAAGGACUCAUUUUUUUUCUCUCUUCUUUUAUACAUUUCUGAACUUCAAAACAGAACUGGAAUUUUGUAACGAAAAGAUACAGUUAUUUGAAAAGUUUUCUUCAGUGUGCAGCCUGGUGGAAGUACGUCGAAACGUGAAAAAAGAAAAACAUACUGACAGCUCGGGUUAUGGGUUCCAGUUUUCCUUUUGUCUUUUAUUUUUGUCUCUGAGCCUUACUACAGUUUUAACAGGCUAACCCGUKUUCAUAAGGUGCAAUAUGCUAUAAGGUUUCUUCAACAUUCUGAACUCAUCAAAUUUUGUCAAAAUAAACAUGAAGCCUGA